rnacentral:sRNA from 1 species
GUCGUGAGAUGUUGGGUUAAGUCCCGCAACGAGCGCAACCCUUGCCCUUAGUUGCUAACGAGUAAUGUCGAGCUCUCUAAGGGGACUGCCGGUGAUAAACCGGAGGAAGGUGGGGAUGAUGUCAAGUCCUCAUGGCCCUUACGCCUGGGGCUACACACGUGCUACAAUGGCCGGUACAAAGGGUCCCGAAACCACGAGGUAGAGGCAAUCCCAAAAACCCGGUCUCAGUUCGGAUUGCAGUCUGCAACUCGACUGCAUGAAGUUGGAAUCGCUAGUAAUCGCUGAUCAGCAGGCAGCGGUGAAUACGUUCCCGGGCCUUGUACACACCGCCCGUCAAGCCACGAAAGUUGGUAGUACCCGAAGUCGGUGUGCCAACCGAAAGGGGGCAGCCGCCUAAGGUAAGACCAGUGAUUGGGGCUAAGUCGUAACAAGGUAGCCGUACCGGAAGGUGCGGCUGGAUCACCUCCUUUCUAGGGAGACAUGUCGCCGGAGACUUCGGUCUGCCGGUGGCGUAUCCCAGGUCGGACUCCCGGGACCUUCAGGUCCGUGCGCUAUUCUCUCUCUUCUGGAGCUUGUGGCUGGAAGCGAGCGAGCCUGGCUGGUAAAUCCAGCCGGGCUCGUUCUGUCCCGUCCAGGCUCGGACAGGCUCGGACCCCUCGGGGUCCGGGGCGAGGGAGGGCUGAGGGGACGCGCCAUCGUCUCCGCAGGCUCGAUCUCCUCCGCGUCGUCGCGAGGUUGGGCCUGUAGCUCAGUUGGUUAGAGCGCACGCCUGAUAAGCGUGAGGUGGGUGGUUCGAGUCCACCCAGGCCCACCAUCGCUCCGGUCCUCAUGAAGGCCGCCUGUCGGGGAUAUAGCUCAACUGGGAGAGCGCCGGCUUUGCAAGCCGGAGGCUGCGGGUUCGAGCCCCGCUAUCUCCACCAGAACCGAGAGACGCUCACCGCCCGGAUUUCGAGGCGGAGAGUGUAUAGAUAUUUGCGGAUCCGCGCCCCGUGCAGCUCAUUACGUUGCGCGCGUCCGCCCGUGACGCAAGCCGUCACGAAUGCUCUUUGACAACCGAAUACGAGACGCUGGGUAAACACAGUGAAAGCACCUUAGAAACCAUAUAUCCGGUCAAGCUACUAAGGGCGCACGGUGGAUGCCUUGGCACGAGAAGGCGAUGAAGGACGCGGUAAGCUGCGAAAAGCCUCGGUGAGCUGCAAACAAGCUUCGAUCCGGGGGUGU